rnacentral:rRNA from 1 species
UACGAAGGGGGCUAGCGUUGCUCGGAAUCACUGGGCUUAAAGGGUGCGUAGGCGGGCUGUCAAGUCUGGGGUGAAAUCCCGCGGCUCAACCGUGGAACUGCCUCAGAUACUGAUGGCCUCGAGGGGGGUAGGGGCAUGCGGAACUGUAGGUGGAGCGGUGAAAUGCGUUGAUAUAUACAGGAACUCCGGUGGCGAAAGCGGCGUGCUGGACCCCUUCUGACGCUGAGGCACGAAAGCUAGGGGAGCAAACGGG